UAGCUCAGUCAGUUGAGCCUAGCGCUAGCAACGCUAAGGUCGCGGGUUUGAUUCCCGU
rfam:Apaloderma vittatum contig89893, whole genome shotgun sequence.